rnacentral:rRNA from 1 species
UACAGAGGUCUCAAGCGUUGUUCGGAUUCAUUGGGCGUAAAGGGUGCGUAGGCGGCGCGGUAAGUCGGGUGUGAAAUCUCGGAGCUUAACUCCGAAACUGCAUUCGAUACUGCCGUGCUUGAGGACUGGAGAGGAGACUGGAAUUUACGGUGUAGCAGUGAAAUGCGUAGAGAUCGUAAGGAAGACCAGUGGCGAAGGCGGGUCUCUAGACAGUUCCUGACGCUGAGGCACGAAGGUCAGGGGAGCAAACGGG